rnacentral:rRNA from 1 species
UACGAAGGGGGCUAGCGUUGUUCGGAAUUACUGGGCGUAAAGGGCGCGUAGGCUGUGCUGUAAGUCAGGCGUGAAAGCCCCGGGCUCAACCUGGGAAUUGCGCUUGAUACUGCGGCGCUGGAAGGUGGGAGAGGAUGGCGGAAUUCCCAGUGUAGAGGUGAAAUUCGUAGAUAUUGGGAAGAACACCGGUGGCGAAGGCGCACUCUGGCCCAUUUUUGACGCUGAGGCGCGAAAGCGUUGGGGAGCAAACAGG